rnacentral:rRNA from 1 species
UACGAAGGGGGCUAGCGUUGCUCGGAAUCACUGGGCGUAAAGGGUGCGUAGGCGGGUCUUUAAGUCAGGGGUGAAAUCUCCAGGCUCAACCUGGAAACUGCCAUUGAUACUAUUUGUCUUGAAUCCUGUUGAGGUGGGCGGAAUAUAUCAUGUAGCGGUGAAAUGCUUAGAUAUGAUAUAGAACACCGAUUGCGAAGGCAGCUCACUAAGCAGGCAUUGACGCUGAGGCACGAAAGCGUGGGGAUCAAACAGG